rnacentral:lncRNA from 1 species
CUGUUGUGGCUCUCCUCUCCAUCCUUGAUUCAUCGUCCAUUAUGAAGUGCCUUACAUUGUGCAUCUGCCUCAACUCCUCUUUGCAUUUAUAUCUAGAUUGCGCAGUGCACAAACCCUGCACAUAACGAUGCCAGUCAUAAACGUGAUGUGAUAACAAUGCCCAAGAAACCUAUGUUGUGAAUGAACAUUGCAGGGGGUUAUACAUUGCAUUGGACAAAAAUUAGCCAGUUUACAUAGAAUGAUGUGCGUCACAAAUGCUUUGCUUCAUGAUUACAAUGUGUAUGUUGGGUCUGCAGAUGUUCUUGCUGUAUUGCACAGUAUUUCAGCUAACUUAAGGAAACAAACAAUAUUUAGGGAAAUUAUGCUUCGUAAAUAAGGUGCCCUAAUGGAAAUCCUUCAUUUACAGGGUUGCUUAUGCCAUGCGCGACAAACUGUGCAGAUAUUUCAUCACAGAGGGAAGGGUGCCGUGGCAGCAGAGCCACGUAAAAGACUGCAGAUGGUAACCAGCCAAAGGUGUCACUGCUGGGAGUUUCAUGAGAGCUGCUGCCUGCCUCGAAAUCCACCCACCCGACCUCAUGGAUCUCAUUCAAUGAAAGUUCAAGUUGGGAGUCUUCCUGGCUUCUGCUGCCACUUUCGGCAGACUUGUCUGAUCUGCAUCAAGCAUAAAUAAAAACAUUUGCUGCAGUUCCGCAUCUAA